rnacentral:rRNA from 1 species
CCUACGGGUGGCAGCAGUGGGGAAUAUUGCACAAUGGGCGCAAGCCUGAUGCAGCCAUGCCGCGUGUGCGAAGAAGGCCUUCGGGUUGUAAAGCACUUUCAGCGGGGAGGAAGGCGGUGAGGUUAAUAACCUCAUCGAUUGACGUUACCCGCAGAAGAAGCACCGGCUAACUCCGUGCCAGCAGCCGCGGUAAUACGGAGGGUGCAAGCGUUAAUCGGAAUUACUGGGCGUAAAGCGCACGCAGGCGGUCUGUCAAGUCGGAUGUGAAAUCCCCGGGCUCAACCUGGGAACUGCAUUCGAAACUGGCAGGCUAGAGUCUUGUAGAGGGGGGUAGAAUUCCAGGUGUAGCGGUGAAAUGCGUAGAGAUCUGGAGGAAUACCGGUGGCGAAGGCGGCCCCCUGGACAAAGACUGACGCUCAGGUGCGAAAGCGUGGGGAGCAAUCAGGAUUAGAUACCCUGGUAGUC